rnacentral:lncRNA from 1 species
UCCAUUUUCCAUGUCCAUCUUCCCUGAACUUUAUCAUAUUGAAACCAAAAUACCAAGGUUAGUAAAUAGGUUUCAACUUACAAUUCAAAUGGAAUAGUGACUGCUUGGAGAGCUAUGUGGAAAGGGAUCUUGGGCUCAGGUCAGUAGACAUGAGGAUUGUGAUUAGCAUUGUCUGCCAUGGAGAGGUAGUAGUAGUAGAAACAGCUAGAAAACAAAAUUCUGGAACCUAAAGGUGUUUAACGCAGAGAAAAGAAAUCUCAGGUGAGCCAUGGUAUUUUCCUCAAAUGCUUGAAGGGCAGCUAUACGAAAGACAGAAUCAACUUUUUCUAACAUGGAAUUAGUAUUGGUAAGCAAAAUCACAAACUCCAUGUAACAAAGAACUUUUAAAUAAUUAGAGAAGUCCAAAAUGGAACCCAUACUAGGAUAUCAUAGAAAGGAUCCCAGCAAGUAUGGAGAAUUAGAAUUAAUUAUUUCUUAGGGAUCUUACCACACGCCAUCAAGUCUCAACAAUGAUAAAUAUUACUUUUUAGAGGAGGGUUACCUGUACUGAGAUAAAAACAAACAAAGGAAAAUGUCCAUCUAGUUCAGACCAAAUAUUUAGUACGGCCACUGAAUUUUGCCCUAAUCUGAAGCAACGUCUGUACCUUGCCAUAGUACUUUGAAAGCUAUUUUAUAUUUGAAAUUUAAAAAAUGCAUUUGAAAUUGGACAUCAUCUUUUAAAACCUCAGAAUUCAGGAUUCUAAUGUGUCAGUGUGGCUACACCUGAACUAACAGUCCUUGCCAAAAUGAAACCUAUCAAAAGCGUUCGUGCCAUAUAUUGGAAACCAAUUGGUUGCCCUGGAAGGUUAGGUAUAUGAUUCGUUAUUGUCCCGUCAGCAAUCAGCAUCUUUGCCGUAGACUGAAGGAGAUGGAGAGAAAAUCACACAAGACAGAGAUGAAAGCUGUGUAGUCAGAAGAAAAAAGCCUUCUUGAUUAUGCUGUGGACUUUCUGAAGUCUUUAAUUCUCCCUCUAGCCCAUCUUCAAACUGGCAUGUGGGACGUACUGUAGAUGGAUGGUGAUGCUCAUCAGGAGAAGCACACACAUAUAUCUUGUGGGUUGAUUUUUUUAUUUGCCAGCUCAAGAGGAGCAGGGAGAUUUAUUUGGAAGGAUGGUAAUGAAGGUGGGGAGGCACUAGUUAGACUGCAGUUUCUGUUCCCAAUAUGUUAUUCUCACUUUUUUCUCUUCUUGAUGCUGGGUUGCUCUCUUUAUUUCCACUUAUUUUUCUUUAAAGGAGGGAUGUUUUGGUGUACUAAGCCAGCGGCUUGAGAGAGGAGGGUGGUAAAGAUGUGGGAACACAGGAUCUCUAUGUGUUAUUUUUGCUGAGAUAUUUCAAAUGUUUUAAUUACAUUCUACAUUUUUAUUCCACACCCAUUUACUUAUACACAAUUACAUACUAUUUGAAAUAGUUGUUUUCUUUAUCCCCAAAUGAGAUUUCAUGUUCCCUUCCUCGCUAUCUUUCUUUUUGCUCUGCCUCACAAGAAUGAAAUAAUUCACUAUAACAAAAAAAAUCACUUUCUUCCUUCAUAACAAUGGCACAAGAAAAUGGACCGACUUUGCUGGACCUUAUAAAUACAGCAGAAGAAAUCACCACCACCCCCCUAAUUUGUGCCAAAGAAUAGAAAUAUUCAUGAAAAGGAAGGAGUAAAUUGAUAAUAGUUUCUAGAAUGCUGUCAAGGAGACAAAGACAUGGCCUUUGGAGGUCUGUUAACAACUAUCACCAGGGCAUCAUUCUAAUGCAACAACUAACCACCUGAGUUGAAGAGUCCUACUAGACUUGAAUCCAAUACUAAUUUUUCUCUUUAUAUCAUCAGUUUAGUUAUUCAUCCUGUCUUAAUUUUUUCAUCUGAAUAUGGGUUAUAAUAAGUCUUAACCUCACAUGGCUUUGGAAAUAUUAAUCAGAAUAAUGAUGAACUACACCACGCACACAGUGUUUAAUUAUUGAACUUACUGAACUUCAAUGUAAAUAUUGGGUAAAGGGGCCAGAUGGAUAAGUAUAUCCAAAUGCUUUCUGAAUGCCUAAAAUCAAUUGUAGAUGGUCAAAGUUUAGUAGAGCAGAUUCUUGAUUAUAUAGGUGGUUGUUAUUCACUUUCUGACUUACCCUUAAGGUUUAUAUCUCUCUGUCAAGACUUGUCUUCUAUUUUCCCUAUUUAUGCAAUAGAAUGUUAUAAAAAUACAGGAUCAGGGAUUUUGGAACAUAAUGUUCUUAUUUGUUACAUGUGUUUGUAAAAUUUGACUUACAAACACUGAAAUAAAAAUUUAAUUAUCUAUGGGGUUUUGCAUCAUGAAAUUACUUUUAGCAUUUUGUGUGUAUAUGAAAUUUAAGAGUCUUAAUAUUGUGGUAUAAGAAGUUUCAUGUCAAGAAACUGGUAUGUACCAUUUUCUUUUUGGGGAAAUUAAAAUUUUGAAUGAAUCUCUGAAAAUAAUGUUAUUUAUCAUGGUCAAGUGUCCAGAGCAGUCCAGUAAAACCUAUCCAAAUCAUAUCCUACUUUUUCUAGAAUAGGCAUAAAAUUUUAGAAAUAAAUUACCACAUAUCAUGGUAUUUCUAAAAACAUGAGUUUGGAGACUCAAUAUGGAGAAAUAGAAACUGAU